GCGGCCGUGCCGGAAUUGGCCAGACGGGCUGGGUUUAGGUCCCAGUGGGCUUCUGCCCGUGUGGGUUCGAGUCCCACCGGCCGUA
rnacentral:tRNA from 1 species